rnacentral:rRNA from 1 species
GACGAACGCUGGCGGCGCGCCUAACACAUGCAAGUCGAACGGAGUCAAGAGGAGCUUGCUUUUCUUGACUUAGUGGCGAACGGGUGAGUAACGCGUGAGUAACCUGCCCUGUAGUGGGGGACAACAGUUGGAAACGACUGCUAAUACCGCAUAAGCCCACGGAUCUGCAUGGAUCUGCGGGAAAAGGAUUUAUUCGCUCUAGGAUGGACUCGCGUCCAAUUAGCUAGUUGGUGAGGUAACGGCCCACCAAGGCGACGAUUGGUAGCCGGACUGAGAGGUUGAACGGCCACAUUGGGACUGAGACACGGCCCAGACUCCUACGGGAGGCAGCAGUGGGGGAUAUUGCACAAUGGGGGAAACCCUGAUGCAGCGACGCCGCGUGGAGGAAGAAGGUUUUCGGAUUGUAAACUCCUGUCGUUAGGGACGAUAAUGACGGUACCUAACAAGAAAGCACCAGCUAACUACGUG